CAGGCCUAACACAUGCAAGUCGAACGAGUAAGAGCCGUAGCAAUACGGAGUUCUGCUAGUGGCGCACGGGUGAGUAACGCGUGGGAACGUGCCUUGGAGUUCGGGAUAACAGUUGGAAACGACUGCUAAUACCGAAUAUUCCCUCAGGGGGAAAGAUUUAUCGCUCCAAGAUCGGCCCGCGUAAGAUUAGGUAGUUGGUGGGGUAAUGGCCUACCAAGCCUACGAUCUUUAGCUGGUCUGAGAGGACGACCAGCCACACUGGAACUGAGACACGGUCCAGACUCCUACGGGAGGCAGCAGUGGGAAUAUUGGACAAUGGGCGAAAGCCUGAUCCAGCCAUGCCGCGUGAAUGAUGAAGGCCUUAGGUUGUAAAAUUCUUUUGCAGGGGAAGAUAAUGACGGUACCCUGCGAAUAAGCUCCGGCUAACUUCGUG
rnacentral:rRNA from 1 species